rnacentral:misc_RNA from 1 species
GAAAGAAAAUUAAACAAUCAUUAAUGGAAUAAUCAACAAAUUAAGAUGGUGGAAUUGGAAGAUUUAAGCCUGUUCAACGUUAUACUGUAUAUGGAUUUACAUUAACACAUCCUUGCACAUAAAGCUUUUGCUUUCUAUAUGAUCUUGCAUACAAGUUCUGCAUGCUUACCUACAUAUUGUUGCAUAUUUAUAUAUAUGUUUCUUAAAUUAGUUAUGCUUACAAUGUAUAAUCUAAAGUCAA